ACAAUAAGCAUAAUUUAUAUUUGUCUUGAAUAUGAGGACAUCGAUUAUUUGCGUGAUAAUUAUAUCAACCUUGGUGUGCUCGGUAUUUUCUGUUCGAGACACGUGUUCGGUAACAGCUGAUUGCACGUGUGCAACAGACAAAAUGCCGCAUUGCCACAUGGGUGUUUGCUAUUGUCAUCAAAUGGGUGGUCACGAAUGCCACCAUCCAGAGGAUUGUAUGUGCGAUUCCAAUCUAACUCCUUCAUGUGAUCACCAUCUGUGUCAUUGUCUAUCCAACCCCUCCUCCACUGUCCCUUAAAGAUAAUUUUGAAGAAUUUCCGGAAAACAGUACUUGAUGCUACGUUUGUUUUCUUUUGCUGCUGU